AUUGAACGCUAGCGGGAUGCUUUACACAUGCAAGUCGAACGAGUGGCGGACGGGUGAGUAAUAUAUCGGAAAGUGCCCAGUCGCGGGGGAUCACUACUGGCAAGAGUGGCUAAUACCGCAUACUAUCAGAUCGGCCGAUAUCGGAUUAGCUAGUUGGUGGGGUAAAGGCUCACCAAGGCAACGCUCCUUAGCUGGUUUGAGAGGAUGACCAGCCACACUGUGACUGAGACACGGCCCAGACGCCUACGGGAGGCAGCAGUGGGGAAUUUUGGACAAUGGGGGAAAACCUGAUCCAGCCAUGCCGCGUGUAUGAGAAGGCCUUCGGGUUGUAAAGUACUUUGAGCGGGGAAGCGUUAUCUGCAGAAGAAGCACCGGCUAACUACGUGCCAGCAGCCGCGGUAAUAC
rnacentral:rRNA from 1 species